rnacentral:rRNA from 1 species
AACGCGAAGAACCUUACCUACCCUUGACAUGGAUGGAAUCCUUGAGAGAUUGAGGAGUGCCCGAAAGGGAACCAUUACACAGGUGCUGCAUGGCUGUCGUCAGCUCGUGUCGUGAGAUGUUGGGUUAAGUCCCGCAACGAGCGCAACCCUUGUCAUUAGUUGCUACGAAAGGGCACUCUAAUGAGACUGCCGGUGACAAACCGGAGGAAGGUGGGGAUGACGUCAAGUCCUCAUGGCCCUUAUGGGUAGGGCUUCACACGUCAUACAAUGGUACAUACAGAGGGCCGCCAACCCGCGAGGGGGAGCUAAUCCCAGAAAGUGUAUCGUAGUCCGGAUUGUAGUCUGCAACUCGACUGCAUGAAGUUGGAAUCGCUAGUAAUCGCGGAUCAGCAUGUCGCGGUGAAUACGUACCCGGGCCUUGUACACACCG